GAAAAAAAUGAAUACAAUGAAAUAGAAUAAAAUGAAAUAAUGGAAGUAAAAUAGAAUUUGAAAAUUUUAUGAAAAUAAAAAAUAUAGUAGAAAAAGAUUAAAGAAAAAUAUUAUAAUAAAAGUUGAAAAUAAAAAUAUGUGCACAUAUGUUCAAUAAAUUCUGUAUUCAAGAAAGAAGCAAAAAAUUCAAUAAAUUCUGUAUUCAAGAAAAAGAAAAGCAAAAAAGAAAAAAAAAGAAAAUUGAAUAGAUGGAUCAGUGAACAGACUGAAAUACGAUUGAAAUUAUACCGUUUUCCCCUAGAAGUCAAACUAUGAAGCACUUUGCACUUUAUAGUCUGUAAACUAAGCAGGAGGAGAGACUUGUGUUCCUGAAGAGCAAGGUUGGCCCAGUUGGGCGGGGCUUAGUGUAACAGCUCCAUUCUCCACUAGAUGGCGCUGCUUAGUUUACUGGGGUGGAUUGUUGUGGUGCUUGUAGGUGCAUAUGCGCCUGCGGGGGAGGGGUGAAAAUGAUGUUACGCAGCUACCCAGUCUCUAGUAUCAGAACUCUGUUGUCCCCAAUCGUGCACCCGUCCUUUGUCUCCGGCUGCCACCUACUCCCCACUUUUACACUGUCUGUGACCAAGCCCCAGGAAGCACCUCCCUCCUGAGCUUUAUCUCAGGAUAAAGCUGGGAUGUCUGUGUUUCCCGAUCCCUCACUUCUGAGGGACUGCGGCUUUGACCUGUUCUGUCCCUCUGUGGGAGGGUCUCACUGAGCAAUGGCCUGCCGGCCACACCCAGGAACGUUUGUAGGUCUGUGCUGUUGCCGAUGCAGAGACUGCGGCUGGGUGCCAGCCCACCCCAGAAAAAGUUCACGCGAUCCUGUAGCAGCAGCGUUUCAGGGAUUAUGGCAAAUCACAACACACAUCUGGCACCAGGCUUCACUCUUAACGUUCUUGCUCCAACACCAGUGGAUGUGGCCUUUCUCCGGUGUCUUUUGAGACCUUUGCCCAUGGAGAGGUCACACCGUCUCUACCAGAUGUCCUUCCAGCAGGGGAACCGCCUGUCCCGUGUGGCCUGAAGACCCCUGGACUUCACUCUGCUCCUGGGGAUUUGCCCUUCCCACCAGAGCACUGCCAGGGGAGGAAAGCAAAGGGAAAGGCAGUAAGUAUGUGUCCAGCCGGUCUCCUGGAGAGCACAUGACAGAAACCCACCUGAAACGAGAUUAGGAGCGAGGCGAAGAGGACUAACCUGCUCAUGUAACCCAAACUGCAAGGAGAACACAGAGUGGCUGGAACAGACAGAGCUCUCCAGCUCUUCUUUCCGCUUCUCUCCAGAAGUCAGUUCCAUUCUGGUCCACAGCACCCUAGUUCCUUCCACAAGGCUGCUGGAACAACGGCUGCUACUGGACCUGGGCCCCAAAUGUUUCCAGCUUCAGGAAUAGGAUCUGUUGGAGCAACUCUCACAGAGAAGCCGUCUUUCUGCCAGUUCUCUUCAGUUAGUUGCCAGGGAAACCUCAAGAGUUUCUACAAUCCAUCACUUUGGCAAGGAGAAUAGAGAUGGUUGAACUGCACAUGGCCCUUGAGGUUGCCACCUGGAAGAGACACGUGUCACUUCUACUCACUGUUCCCUGGGCAAUGCAAGACACAUGGUCACAGGCCUGGCCUAUGUAACACUCCCGGUGCCUUCAGGACACUUGGGAUGGAGCCCCGACUUGGACCCUACCUCCUUGCUGUUGCCAGAACCCGUUGGAAUUAGAGGACAGGAGACCUCCUGUGAUUUAUAUUCUGGAGUUGUGGGAUGAUGGACUGAGCCAGACAGCUCGUCACCUCUGGACAAGAUGAGCGGGGUCAUGGCAGCUGCCCUGGAAAUGAAAGAGGAGGCAGGGUGCUUUGCUGCCUUGGAAGCUCUCCUUUGUUCCCGAGCAUCAGGGGUGCUGUCGCAUGUGGCCUCUGGGAGGCCAGGCAGGAAGAGCAGAGCCUGUGCCCAAUAGCUGAAGGGCAGGGCUGAUGAACAGCUCAUCUUAUUGAUUGCUGGCCUCUCCGACCAUCAGCGGACCCAGGCCCACUGCUGGCUGCCUGCCAUUGAGCCACAAAGGCAGCAGCUCCACGGAUUUUCCACGAAUUCCCCCUUCUGGGUCCUUUUCAGUGGCCAGGUGGACUUGGCCUCUUGAACAUCCUGUUUGCUCCAACUUGUCCACCUGAUGCAAGUGCACGUUAGGUGACUGUGUAAACAGAGUGGUGCCCAAGAACCCCCAGGACUCCAGAAAGGAACUGGUGUGGGCCCACACGAAACCAGAAAGUGGACCCAAGGGCCAAGGAAUGCCCAUGAUGAGAGAGCAGGACUGUGGCCCAGACCAGGGCUGCUGCUGGUCUAUGCAGUGCCUUUGUGUGAAGUAGAAAAAAAUGUACCCCUUCUUUUUGGAGACGGAACCUGGAGCAGCUGUUUUUGGGUUGGAAAGUGAAGCCUGGACUGGAUUUUGGCUCCUACUUCAGCAGGGGCCAACCUGCAUUGCCACAUGCAGAAUGUAAUCAGGACUAGGAGCUUAUGUGAAGCUAGUUGAAGCCAGAACAAUGUUUAAAUCUCUCCCUAUCAAGGAAUUUGGCGAAUAGAUAUACACCUGGCUACAUGGAGAGCAACUUGUUGUGUACAUAAGGCUUGGAAAGAAAAUCAUGUAGAAUUGAAGAGAACAAGAGCCGUGUAAGGAAAGCAGUGUGCUUGGUGACAGGAACUUGGAAUGAGACUGGUGUAAAGAACCUGGCCGUGGUGUCAGACAGAGAAGAUUUGAAUCCCGUUGUGGUCACUUAUAAGCAGUAUGAUUCCCUGGGUUUUCUUCUGCGUCAAAUGCAAGUGAUAAUUGGAUAUGUUUCAUAAGGCGAUUGUGAAGGCUAGAUAGGAUAAUGGAGGUAAGUGCUCAUACAGUGCAUUGGGUUUAAUUUGUUAGUGAAUGCUAGUUGUUAUUUUAUGAGAAAUCUUAAUAUAUUUCUAGACACCGACUUAAACAGAAAGAAAGGCAAAUUGAAUGAUCUGUAAGGUUCUUUAUUGCUCUAAGUUUUCAUACUUCUCAUUUGAAACACAAAGUUUAAGUAGGUUUUUUGUGACAGAAAUAUAUUUGUAGAUUAAGAUGGGGCCUGAAUGUUGUGCCAAAACUGUAGAGUUUUGAGAAUAUGAUUUCCUUGGGGAAUAAAAGGGGAUUAUUUCUGUCUAUUUAUAAUCUGAACUGGUCCUUUCUUGGCGAUGUGAGGGAACAUGCAAAGUUUUAUAUUUAAGAAAUUUGGGAAACUGGUUGGUUAGGCAUUGGUCAAUACCAUCACUUUUGUCUAAUAGCUGCCUUUUGUUCUCUAUAAAAAUAAGGAGAUGGGGUCAUUUAUGCACUUAGGAGCAACGGGAAAAUUUGUUCGAUGUUAUAUGUUUAGAGCAGUCCUAAAUCUUGCGUUUCCUGAAGCUUUUGAUGUGUGGAGGAUUUGAAUGGUCAUUCUCUGGAUUCAAGAAAAUUUAUAAUAUCUCUUAUAUAUCCAGCAACAGAUGUAUAAAAGUUUCCGGGGAGGGAAAUGGUUCUUUCAAAAUGACUUUUGGAUGAUACAUGUGUAAGCAAAUAAGACAGAUAUCGAUUAAAUGUCCUUCCAACACAAAACAAAUUGACCAGACGUGCAAAGGUUUUUGCCAAACCCCAGCAUUUGAUAUCCCCCAAAGACAUUUGGUUGCUGAUUUCUGGCUGAGGCUUGAAAGGUGGAAAUUUUGCUUGGAAAUGGUUUAGUAGAGCAAGAGGUAAGGCAGAAAGGCAAAGUGUCAGCGCUGAGGCACGAAGAAGCUUCCAAUCCUUUUCUUUAUAUCUGUGUAGAUAAUAUGCAAAGAAAAAAAAAAGAAAGAAAACAAAAAGGUGAACUUGGAAAAAUUCCAAGUCAUAUGUGCUGAUUUCCCUCAAUUCUGGGGAAACUACAUGAAUGCUUUAAGAUCUAAAUGCUUUAAGACCAAAGGCAGGGACCAUUCAGAUUGUUCAGAGGAACUUGAGAGGGAGCCCUGACCUCCUGUAAAUGGAAUGAUUCCAACAAUGAAUUUCAUGGGGUUUAUAUAAUGAGCAUCCAUCUCUGUCUGUAACAUUGUGUCAUUUUUGUUUGAUUGUAUGAACCAUGGGUGUCCCCUAUAAGAGAUGCUUCAGUUCACCUGAGAGUGAUACUUUUUUCAAACUCUUUUGCUUACUUGUAUUAAGUUGAAGAAUUCCUACACACUGGUGGCCGCUCCCUUGUAUUACACUGCUGGGGUUCCUAUGAGCUGUGCCAAAUGUUUGAGCAUCCUGUCCAAGCAUUCAUGGGCCUUAGUGACCAAACCCCAGGCUUGACCACAGAAUGGUUGGAGAAAGGGAACUGCUUCUCAAAGGUGGUGGUGAUGAUUGGGCAUGCCACCAUAAGAUUGGUCUUGGCUGGAACUGAAAUAGCACUUGAUUUUGGAAUGAGUAUUUGUGAAUCUUUGAAGCCUGGGUAAUUUAGGGGGAACAUGUUGUAAGUGUGAGGCUCGAUAUCACCUGAUUGGAUAAAUAUUCAUUAUUACCUUUAAGUUAUAUUUAUUUUUAGCCACAUUGUUGAAGCCUCUGUUGGCCAGCAGCAGCCAGCUUGGUAACAGAUGGCCUAAGAACUUCAGGAGUGACUCCUGAGAUAUCUGCUGUAAUCUGUUUUAGCUUGACCAGUGGUGGCACUUUGAGGGUUGGGAAUCCAAGUAUACAAGGUAUUUUUUUCUACUUUUCUUGGACAAAGGCCAUGUUAAAAUUCUCUGGAGACAAAGCCAGCUCUUACACUGUCUCCAACAGAGUUGUCAGUUCAUACAAGCCAAUAGCAUUUGGAGAACAUGGUAGUGUUAAUCCUGAUGGACUCUUCUUAAAGCAUCUUGGGUCAGGUGUCCCUGGUAUUGUGUUGCUCAUGAGGUCCUUGAUUCCUAGUUCUGAUGUUGGGCCAAACCUCCCUGAUACCUAUUAAUUUGGAGGAUAUAAACAUUUUGUUCUCACGAAUUGGCUGCUGAGUAAUUGCCAACUUGUAUCUUUCCCAGUCUCUGGUAAACAUAUUCAUUGGUUGACCCAAUCUGAGCAUGAUUGAGAAAUAGGUGGGUUUCCCCUCAACGAUAGGAAAACUGUCCUCAUACUAAACUAGUGUGCUGAUCUUCGAUGAAGUGGAGGGAAACCCCUUGCCUUGGUAUGAAUUAGUAGUUCUGGCCACCCAAACGACCAUGCUGUGCUGAGUUCUUUCCAACUUGAUCUUACCAGAUCACAUGGUUACAGUACAAGGUGAGCAGACACUGAAACAGAGGAGAGCACAGUGCAUAGAGAAAACUCUUCUCUCAUUCCAAAGACAACUUUCUUGAGCCAGGCUAAUGCUUUUUUUUUUUUUUUCAUUAUUUAUCUUGGCAAAGCCUGAAUAGUUCUGUGAUGAGGGACCCAAAACCUAGAACAAGAAUCAAGGAAACUUUCUCUUAUCUCCACUGUUAUUUUUCAGUGGGGCUUUAAUGUCCAUGAUAGGAUGAUAUGCUUGUGCUGAGUUCUGAUGCAGGAAGCAGACUGCACCAAGGAUUUGCAGAUAGAUCAAAGAGGGGGAGAUGAAUGAAUGUUGCCCAGGGAACAAAUUUUCAAAAAGAAGACUCCUUAAGAAUUUCUCCUUGUUGUCUUCAUGUUAAUGAUGAAGAAGCUUCCCAGAGAAAGAUGAUUUAGAGCUUUUUUUUUUCUCAGUAUAAUAGAGCAGGACAUGAUUUGGUGGUUGUGGGGUAGGUAUAUGUAGCCUAGCUACUUGCCAAACCUCUAUAUCCACUGUUCUUUUCUAUUUCACCCUCCCCUCCCUUCACUGAUCUGUUUUCCAGUUUGUAAAUUGAAUAGCAAACAAUCCAAAAGGGCAGAGGGUUGUGAGAGACACAAGCCCUCAUAUGACACCUAAAUUACUGAUCAGAAACGACAUUUCAAGAACAGUGUAAUCCUUUGUAAAGCUGGCUUCAAAGGUCAAAGCUAAAACACAUUGUACGCUAGCCACGUGACAUCGGGCCAUCAUAUCUCACGAUUGAGCACAAUUCACAUGCAAUCUUCUCCAAAUAUUUGAUGACUAGAAUGUCUGAUUUUAUCAUACUCAUAAAACACAACAUGGUGCUUAGGAUGUCUAGGAACUAGAGAGGCUGACUUGGAGUCCUGGCUCCAUCGCUUACCAGCAGUGUGAUCUGGGCUGAGUUACCUCAUUUUACUCUCUGUAAGACGAAGGCAAUCUUUCUAACUUCAUGUGCAAUAGGCACUGUUGUGGGGAAGUUCUUUGAUAGUGUGCUGAGCACUUAGUGUGCUAAACAUAGAGUCAAUGUUAAUUUAUGUUAUACAAUACAGAAUAAUUACUGAACAUCUACUGUAUAGAAGACCUUGUGUCAGGCACAAAACUGACCUCUGAGGUGUCAAAGUCUGUCUUGAAAAAAAAAAGUAAGACUUUUGUUGUCACUGUUGACCUUCUCGGCUAGUAAAACAGAACACCAGAUAAAAGUCCUUUAAUAUUUAUAACAAAUUCAAGCUACGUGUGUGAAGGAAGAGAGUUCUAUGUGAGCAAUUUCUCCAACAUCUGUGGAAGUUUUGACUUCCUUGACUAUUCCUUGGAUGCCCUUCUACAUGACUAAUUUUGGUAUCAAAAUUACUGUUUAUUUUUGGUAGCGUGAAGUUCCACACCUAACUUCCAUCCAAAGGUACAUCUGUCUCUCUCUUUGUGUCCGUCUGUUCUUUUCUUAGUAGUGCUUGCAUUAAGAUGAUGCUUUUUGCCAAAUUGGAUUUGUAAUAGAUGAUGCAGUGAGAGAUGGGGCACAAAACAAAAUUAGGCUCAUUUUUGGUGCAUUCAAGUGCUAGCUACUGCCCCAAAUGGUAAAUUACAAAAAUGAUCAUGGUACCCUGAAGAGUUGAUGGAUUUCUUUCCUCAAAUUGCUAGAUAGUUACAUGAGUGAGGGUGAUUUUCCUAGUGUUAAAACUGUUUCCUGGGGGUAAUUUUAGGCACCUUGGGUAGCUGCAUUAACUACUUUUGGCCACUAGACAGCCAUUGCUAAGUGGGCCCUUAAGUGUUCACAUGACUCUUAAGUGGUGCCCCAGUAAGAAUAAUUAGCAAAGGUCUUUAUGGUGAUGAAGACCUAGCAAGCUCUACUGGAAGAAAUGUUCUAUAUAAUUCCCUUCAAAAUGAAACUUUCCAAAAGAUAAAACUCACAAGUAAGGAAUGGCUUGAUAUUGCUGCUUAUCUUUAUAACCCCCUGCUAGAAAAUCAGGCUUUAUGGAUUUCAGUGACAUUUCAUGAGCAUUAUCAUUUUGGCUAUUCACAGCAAUAGUGUUAAAUAGGGAAAGGGGUUAGGAUGUUGCUUCGCAAGAAGAAGGCUGCAGGACUUUAUAGAAAAAGUGGCAAAAUUAGAAUCAAGAAGACCUGAGGUCUGGUGGGGUUUGGCAUGUGGCCUUAAACAGUUCAUUGUUUGUACAACAAGGAGAUUAGAUGGAGAGGAUGGAGAUUAGAUUAGAUC